rnacentral:tRNA from 1 species
GGGCUCGUGGCGCAGUUGGUUUAGCGCGCCUGCCUGUCACGCAGGAGGUCGCGGGUUCAAAUCCCGUCGGGCCCG